rnacentral:rRNA from 1 species
CAGUUGCUAGGAUUAGACCCGAAACCGGGCGAUCUAUCCAUGGGCAGGUUGAAGGUUGAGUAACAUCAACUGGAGGACCGAACCGACUACCGUUGAAAAGUUAGCGGAUGACCUGUGGAUCGGAGUGAAAGGCUAAUCAAGCCCGGAGAUAGCUGGUUCUCCUCGAAAGCUAUUUAGGUAGCGCCUCGUGUCUCACCAUUGGGGGUAGAGCACUGUUUCGGCUAGGGGGUCAUCCCGACUUACCAACCCGAUGCAAACUCCGAAUACCAAUGAGUGCAAUCACGGGAGACACACGGCGGGUGCUAACGUCCGUCGUGAAAAGGGAAACAACCCAGACCGUCAGCUAAGGUCCCAAAGUUAUGGUUAAGUGGGAAACGAUGUGGGAAGGCUUAGACAGCUAGGAGGUUGGCUUAGAAGCAGCCACCCUUUAAAGAAAGCGUAAUAGCUCACUAGUCGAGUCGGCCUGCGCGGAAGAUAUAACGGGGCUCAAACCAUACACCGAAGCUACGGACGCUGUUUACAGCGUGGUAGAGGAGCGUUCUGUAAGCCGUUGAAGGGAAAGCUGUAAGGCAUCCUGGAGGUAUCAGAAGUGCGAAUGCUGACAUGAGUAACGAUAAGGGGAGUGAAAAACUUCCCCGCCGGAAGACCAAGGGUUCCUAUCCAAUGCUAAUCAGGGUAGGGUGAGUCGACCCCUAAGGCGAGGCUGAAGAGCGUAGUCGAUGGGAAACAGGUUAAUAUUCCUGUACUUCUUGUUAUUGCGAUGGAGUGACGGAGAAGGCUAGGCCAGCACGGCGUUGGUUGUCCGUGUUUAAGGUAGUAGGCAAGUGACUUAGGCAAAUCCGGGUCACUCUUUAAAAGAGAAUGCCGAGAAUUGAUGACGAGUCCUCUUUUGGACGAAGUGGUUGAUGCCAUGCUUCCAGGAAAAACUUCUAAGCUUCAGAUAACAAGAAAUCGUACCCCAAACCGACACAGGUGGUCAGGUAGAGAAUACCAAGGCGCUUGAGAGAACUCGGGUGAAGGAACUAGGCAAAAUGGUACCGUAACUUCGGGAGAAGGUACGCCGGUGCUGGUGAUGGGACUUGCUCCCUCAGCUGGCGCUGGUCGAAGAUACUAGGUGGCUGCGACUGUUUAUUAAAAACACAGCACUCUGCAAACACGAAAGUGGACGUAUAGGGUGUGACGCCUGCCCGGUGCUUGAAGGUUAAUUGAUGGGGUUAGCUUCGGCGAAGCUCUUGAUCGAAGCCCAAGUAAACGGCGGCCGUAACUAUAACGGUCCUAAGGUAGCGAAAUUCCUUGUCGGGUAAGUUCCGACCUGCACGAAUGGCGUAACGAUGGCCACACUGUCUCCACCCGAGACUCAGUGAAAUUGAAAUUGCGGUUAAGAUGCCGUAUAUCCGCGGCUAGACGGAAAGACCCCGUGAACCUUUACUAUAGCUUCGCAGUGGACUUUGAUAUUACUUGUGUAGGAUAGCUGGGAGGCUUUGAAGCGUGGACGCCAGUUCAUGUGGAGCCAAUCUUGAAAUACCAGCCUGGUACUAUUGAGGUUCUAACUCAGGUCCCUGAUCGGGAUCGAGGACAUUGUGUGGUGGGUAGUUUGACUGGGGCGGUCUCCUCCCAAAGAGUAACGGAGGAGUACGAAGGUGCGCUCAGCAUGGUCGGAAAUCAUGCAACGAGUAUAAAGGCAUAAGCGCGCUUGACUGCGAGACAGACACGUCGAGCAGGUACGAAAGUAGGUCUUAGUGAUCCGGUGGUUCUGUAUGGAAGGGCCAUCGCUCAACGGAUAAAAGGUACUCCGGGGAUAACAGGCUGAUACCGCCCAAGAGUUCACAUCGACGGCGGUGUUUGGCACCUCGAUGUCGGCUCAUCACAUCCUGGGGCUGAAGCCGGUCCCAAGGGUAUGGCUGUUCGCCAUUUAAAGUGGUACGCGAGCUGGGUUUAGAACGUCGUGAGACAGUUCGGUCCCUAUCUGCCGUGGACGUUUGAGAUUUGAGAAGAGUUGCUCCUAGUACGAGAGGACCGGAGUGAACGAACCUCUGGUGUUCGGGUUGUCAUGCCAAUGGCAUUGCCCGGUAGCUAUGUUCGGACAGGAUAACCGCUGAAAGCAUCUAAGCGGGAAGCCCCCUUCAAGAUGAGAUCUCACUGGGGCCUUGAGCCCCCUGAAGAGCCGUUCAAGACCAGGACGUUGAUAGGCUGGGUGUGUAAGCGUUGUGAGGCGUUGAGCUAACCAGUACUAAUUGCUCGUGAGGCUUGACCAU